UCGAGGGGUAGAGGAAGCUUGCUUUCUUGAGACCGGCGCACGGGUGCGUAACGCGUAUGCAAUCUACCUUUUACAGGGGAAUAGCCCAGAGAAAUUUGGAUUAAUGCCCCAUAGUGUAAUUGAAUGGCAUCAUUUGAUUACUAAAGUUCCAACGGUAAAAGAUGAGCAUGCGUCCUAUUAGCUAGUUGGUGUGGUAACGGCACACCAAGGCAACGAUAGGUAGGGGUCCUGAGAGGGAGAUCCCCCACACUGGUACUGAGACACGGACCAGACUCCUACGGGAGGCAGCAGUGAGGAAUAUUGGACAAUGGGCGCAAGCCUGAUCCAGCCAUGCCGCGUGCAGGAAGAAGCAUCUAUGGUGUGUAAACUGCUUUUGUACGGGAAGAAACACUCCUACGUGUAGGAGCUUGACGGUACCGUAAGAAUAAGGAUCGGCUAACUCCGUGCCAGCAGCCGCGGUAAUACGGAGGAUCCAAGCGUUAUCCGGAAUCAUUGGGUUUAAAGGGUCCGUAGGCGGUUUAAUAAGUCAGUGGUGAAAUCUGGUCGCUCAACGAUCAAACGGCCAUUGAUACUGUUAGACUUGAAUUACUAGGAAGUAACUAGAAUAUGUAGUGU
rnacentral:rRNA from 1 species